rnacentral:lncRNA from 1 species
AGGUUGGCCAGCCGUCCUGAGGAGAGGCUAAAGGCAUCUAAGAGUGCUGAUCACCUAUAUAUAGGAGUUCUAGAGGACAUCAAGGAAAGUUAGAUGCCAGGGGGAGGACGGAAGGGACAGGUGAAGUCAGUGCAUCUGUGGGUAUGCAGGGACAUUUGGGUGGGAGAAUAUGAGAAUAAGAGAUAUAAGGGGCAAAUCUGUGUUAGAUACUGAUAAGAGAGUUGAUGGUUUUAGGCCCAGAUAUUAGUAGAUGCAGUUAAUGGGUCUCAGGAAUUAAAAAAAAUUCAGUUAUGUAUGUAUGUGAUGGUGUAUACCUCUAUCUCCAGCUACUGGGGAGCUUGAGGUAGGAGGAUUGCUUGAGUCAUAGUUUCAGACCCGUCUGGGCAACAUAGUAAGACUCACCUCUCUAAAACAAAAACAGUUCUUCAAAAUCAUAUAUCUAGGUAGGUGUUGGGCAGAGUAAGAAGCUGAUCUUCCAGCUACAUAGUGGUAGAUGUUUCCCUAAGAAACUGUAGUAAAACCUGUGGCCAGAGGAUCCUGAGUGCUGAGUAGUGACUGAUUCUAUCCCCUUCCCCCCUUUGUCCUCCCACUCUUUCUUUUCCUCUUUGAAGUGGAUGCUUUCCUUUGAGUGAUAUCUUUUCUCUCAUUGCUUGCCUGUAUCCAGUGCUAGGACUCCUUUAUCAAGGAAGUUAGGGGUGUGGAAAUUGUUGAGUAAAAAUACUGAGACCUAGUUCAUUCUAGCUAUCACCUUCCUUUUGCGGGGUUUUUUUUUUUUUUUUGGUUUUUCAAGAUGGUUUCUCUGGCUGUCCUGGAACUCACUCUGUAGACCAGGCUGGCCUUGAACUCAGAAAUCCACCUGCCUCUGGCUCCCAAGUGCUGGGAUUAAAGGCGUGUGCCACCACCGCCCCACCUUCUUUUUUGUUGCAACAAAGUACUUUGGAAGUAAAGACUUGAGGGCUAUUUUGUUGUUUUCAAGCAGCAACAUUGCUGGGUUUGCUGGCUCAUACCUGUGUUCCCAGCAUUUGGGAGGCUGAGGCAGGACGAUUGCAGCAAGUUCAAGACCAGCCCAGCCUACAUAGUGAGACUGUAUUGCUAUGGCAACUAAUAUUCUGGUCAGAUUUCUACCAUCGCAUUAUAUAUUUAUUGUUUCCUUUAACUCCCACUUUUUGCUAAACUGAUUACAAACAUGUUACCAGAGUUAAAUAAUAGCUUCUUUGUUCUUACCCAUUCAGAGUGAGACUUGUAGCACAUUUUGUGUUGUUGAUUUUUCUGGUGCCCAUCUCUUGAUUCUUGGAAAUUGUUGAAAUUGAUGUCUUUGUUCCCAGCUAGUCCCUUAGGAUUUUCUUAUUGGGUUUUAAGUUACAGUUCUCAGCCAUAUCACCAAUUAAUCAACUUCCUGUUUAACCCUAUUUUGUUUGGUUUACUUUGCAGCCUUUAUUCAGACUUAAUUUUUUUAUCUCCUAUUCUUCCCCUUUCCUCCUCUUCCUACCCCACCCUCACUUGGACCUUGAACAUAUUGAAUAUAUUUCUACAAUAGUCCCUAAUUUUUAUUUUUUGGCAGUAGUCUUACAAGGAAGGAAAUUUUCUUAACAUAAAAGUGGUCAGAUAGAGAGGAAUUUGGCUGGAACAUAAUUAAUCCCUUUCCUCAGGACUUACUGAACUUCCUUAUUUAUUUAUUUAUUUAUUUAUUUAUUUAUUUUAGUUUUUCGAGACAGGGUUUCUCUGUGUAGCUCUGGCUGUCCUGGAACUCACUUUGUAGACCAGGCUGGCCUCGAACUCAGAAAUCCACCUGCCUCUGCCUCCUGAGUGCUGGGAUUAAAGGCGUGCGCCACCAUGCCUGGCUUCACUGAAACAUUUUGCUUAUAUUAAUGCUUUACAUCUUGUGUUUGUAUUAAAAAAAUUCACACAAACAAAAACUAAGAAACUGACAAUGCCUGAUUCUGUCCCCUGUGUUUCCACUCACAAUCAUAUACUUACAGACCUUUUGACCCUAUGGAAAAAUAUCUAACAUUCAGAACUACUGAUAACAGGAAGAGGAUUUUUUCUUUUGAGAAUGAAAUGUUUCCCCUCAUAUUGAACUCUGAAGCAAGUACUCCGAAUAUGCAGCAUGCUAACUGGAUAUCUUUUGGCAUAAUUGUUACAUGUUUGGUAUGGAUAGCACAUAGUUUGGGAUCUUCAAAAGGCCAACUUCCUCAGACAUAAUGAUGACAAGUUGUGGCAUGGAUGUAGGGAAAGGUGAGCAUUUAUUCACUGCUGGUAGGCACGUGUAAACUGUACAGCCAAUUUAGAAGUUAGUAUAAAGGUUCCUCAGAAACCGAAGAAUAGAUCUGCCACAUUUUAUGGCACACACUUUGCGUAAUGUUAGUUCUCAUAUAACCGUGUUUUUUACAGAAUGUAUUUUCAUUCAUAUUUUUAAUAAAGUUACUAGAAGAUAUUUUG